UACAGAGGGUGCAAGCGUUGUUCGGAAUUAUUGGGCGUAAAGCGCGUGUAGGCGGCUUGGCAAGUCAGAUGUGAAAGCCCUCGGACUUAACCGAGGAAGUGCGUCUGAAACUGCUGAGCUUUGAGUGUCGGAGAGGAUGGCGGAAUUCCGCAAGUAGAGGUGAAAAUUCGUAGAUAUAGCGGAGGAACACCGGUGGCGAAGGCGGCCAUCUGGACGACCACUGACGCUGAGACGCGAA
rnacentral:rRNA from 1 species